GAUGAAGAACGUAGCGAAAUGCGAUAAGUAAUGUGAAUUGCAGAAUUCAGUGAAUCAUCGAAUCUUUGAACGCACCUUGCGCCCUUUGGCCAUUCCGAAGGGCUUGCCUGUUUGAGUAUCAUGAACACCUCAACUCUUCAUGGUUUUCCAUGAUGAGCUUGGACUUUGGGGGUCUUGCUGGCCUGUGGGUCGGCUCCUCUCAAAUGAAUCAGCUUGCCAGUUUUUGGUGGGCAUCACAGGUGUGAUAACUAUCUACGCUUGUGGUUUUCCACCAGGGUAACCUUCAGCAGUGGAGGUUCACUGGAGCUUACAAAUGUCUCUCCUCUGUGAGGACAGCCCUUUGAAUGUUUGAUCUCAAAUCAGGUAGGACUACCCGCUGAACUUAAGCAUAUCAAUAAGCGGAGGA
rnacentral:misc_RNA from 1 species